rnacentral:lncRNA from 1 species
AUCUGAUGAAGAUCAUCAAAGGUGAGUGCUGCAUUUAGCUGUCUUCUGGGUUUUGGUGACAUUAUAUGCUGGCUUGAAAAAUGGGUGUCUGAUUAUUUCUGGCUUGGUACUCUGCUGACAUAAUCUAAUGUUUUGCUUUCGUUGUAAAGCCUUUUUGAAAUCGGACAGUGUGGUUAGAUUAACGAGAGUCUUGUCUUUAAAUAGCUGUAAAAUAGUCAUAUGUUUGAGAAAUUGAAGUAAUCGGAUUUAAGGUUUUGAAAAUCGCGCCACAGGCUUAAAGUGGCUGUUGAGUAGGUGGGACGCAAGCGUCCCACCUAGCCCAUAGAGGCUAAAAUAAUUUUGGAUUUGUUAACAUUUACAUUUUAGUUAUUUAGCAGACGCUCUUAUCCAGAGCAACUUACAGUAGUGAAUGCAUACAUUUUAUUUCAUGCAUUUAAAAAAUAUAUUUUUUUUGGUACUGGCCCCCCGUGGGAAUCGAACCCACAACCCUGGCGUUGCACACACCAUGCUCUACCAACUGAGCCACAGGGAAGUUUAUUUUAUAUUCUUCAAAGUAGCCACCCUUUGCCUCGACAGCUUUGCACACUCUUGGCAUUCUCUCAACCAGCUUCAUGAGGAAAGAUUUUCCAACAGUCUUGAAGGAGUUCCCACAUAUGCUGAGCACUUGUUGGCUGCUUUUUCUUCACUCUGCGGUCCAACUCAUCCCAAACCAUCUCAAUUGAGUUGAGGUCGGUGAUUGUGGAGGCCAGGUCAUUUGAUGCAGCACUACAUCACUCUCCUUCUUGGUCAAAUAGCCCUUGUAUCGCUGCAGAAUGCUGUGGUAGCCAUGCUGGUUAAGUGUGCCUUGAAUUCUAAAUAAAGCACUGACAGUGUCACCAGCAAAGCACCACCACACCACCUCCAUGUUUCACGGUGGGAACCACACAUGCAAAGAUCAUCUGUUCACCUACUCUGCGUCUCACAAAGACACGGCGGUUGGAACCAAAAAUCUCAACUUCGGACUCAUCAGACCAAAGGACAGAAUUCCACCGGUCUAAUGUCCAUUGCUCGUGUUUCUUUGCACAAGCAAGUCUCUUCUCCUUAUUGGUGUCCUUUAGUACUGGUUUAUUUGCAGCAAUUUGACCAUGAAGGCCUGAUUCACGCAGUCUCCCCUGAACAGUUGAUGUUGAGAUGUCUGUUACUUGAACUCUGUGAAGCAUUUAUUUGGGCCGCAAUUUCUGAGGCUGGUAACUCUAAUGAACUUAUCCUCUGCAGCAGAGGUAACUCUGGGUCUUCCUUUCCUGUGGCGGUCCUCAUGAGAACCAGUUUCAUCAUAGCGCUUAAUGGUUUUAGUGACUGCACUUGAAGUAAUUUUAAACGUUUUUUUUACAUUUUCCAGAUUUACCUACCUUCAUGUCUUAAAGUAAUGAUGGACUCUCUUUUUGCUAACUCUUUGCUUAUUUGAGCUAUUCUUGCCAUAAUAUGGACUUUGUAUUUUACCAAGUAGGUAUAUCUUCUGUAUACCACCCCUACAACACAACUGAUUGGCUCAAAUGCAUUAAGGAAAGAAAUUCCUUAUUACAUGAUGCCAUACGUGUUAUUUCAUAGUUUGUAGAAUAAUAGUGAAUACAUCCAAUGUAGAAAAUAGUAAAAAUAAAGAAAAACCCUUGAAUGAUUAGGUGUGUCCAAACUUUUGACUGGUACGGUAUAAUGAAGGUAUAACACCAGUGUUCAGUUCAGUCCGACAUACUUUAAUUUUGGGGCAAAUCCAGAACAUAGUAAAGGAUGGCUAUAAUAAAAUAUCAAUCAAAAAAAUAAAAGGUAAGUCUGUGGGGCGAGUUCAAUUCUUGUGUAGACCUAUGCCUUCUGUCAGGAGGGCAUGUGGAGCCGUGAUAAAAGUUCAAGCACUUUUGACCCCUUGCCACUGGGGGAGUCAUGGUUAUCUUGUGGGGUCAUCUCCAGCCCAUACAGGUGCUCAAGGAAGCCAUACAGGGAGGCUAGCUGAUCUGGGUACCCCAGUUCAAACACACGCAGAAGCUUGAAAAGCUUGUCCAGUGCAUUGCUCAGGCCCUCCUGAGGCAGGGGGAUUGCAAUCCUAUCAACAGGGAACACGAUACAAAGCUGCCGGCCAGGGGCCUCCAGGGGCCCCACGCUCAAUAUGUACGGUCACAGAAUAAGGAGGACACCAUGGUGUCUAUCUGUAGAGGAACAAAGGAGCAAAGGUCUUUCAAGGGGAUUCUUCAAAUACAUUCCUUCAAAAUGCCAUUGCUACCUUUCCUUCUAAAGUUGCCAACCAUUUCCUUCUAAAAUUCCACUAGUUCACAAACUUAAUCUAUAUGGCAAUGAGGAAAUGUCUGGAUUCACUGCUCAGUCUGACCAGGAAGAAAAAUACUGUGUUGCUCACCGGUACAAUGUCCACCAGAUACCGAAUGACCUGCCUGACACUGCUCCUGGAGGGUAAGGAGGCUCUACUGGUGUUUGUUGAUGUUAGUACAUAGAUCAGGACCUUCAGCAUAGUCAGGGUGUAGGAGUCUGCAGAGGAAUCAGUGGGGAACAAAUGUGAAACUUAGCAUUAAAAAAAACUUAAAACACAGCAAUCUACUCUCCAAUUACUCUAACCACUGAGUAAAUCAUACAGUUAAUUUCCAGUCAGUCUGUCAAUGGCUGAUUAGGAGGUUGACUGUAAAGUGUCUAUUCCGUGUAUACUGAAUUAAAAAAAGAAACGCAACAUGCAACAAUUUCAAAUAUUUUACUGAGUUACAGUUCAUAUAAAGAAAUCAGUCAAUUGAAAAACGUACUAGGCCCUAAUCUAUGGAUUUCCGAUGACUGGGCAGGGGUGCAGCCAUGGAUGGCAGCCAGGCUCACCCACUGGGGAGCCGGUCCCAGCCAAUCAGAAUUAGUUUUCCCCUAUAAAAGGGCUUUAUUAGACAGAAAUACUCCUCAGCACCCCAACCAAAAAAUCCCACAGGUAAAAAAAGAUGUGGAGGUCUUGGACUGGUGUGGCUACACAUGGUCUGCUGUUGUAAGGCCAGUUGGACGUACUGCCAAAUUCUCUAAAACGACAUUGGAAGCAGCUUACGGUAUAGAAAUUAACAUUAAAUUCUCUGGCAACAGCUCUGGUGGACAUUCCUGCAGUCAGCUUGGCUCCAUCAAAACUUGAGACAUUGUGUUGUGUGACAAAACUGCACAUUUUAAAGUGGCCUUUUAUUGUCCCCAGCACAAGGUGUGCCUGUGUAAUGAUCAUGCUGUUUAAUCAGCUUCUUGAUAUGUCACACUUGUCAGGUGGAUGGAUUAUCUUGGCAAAGGAGAAAUGCUCACUAACAGG